UUUUGGAGUUUCCACAAUGGCCAUGGACUGCUUUCCUGAUGACUUUAUAGAAAGAAAAGAAAAUCUUAGUCUUAUUAAACCACUGCUAUUUUGGGUGUCUUUGACUGGCAUUAUCAGCCAGAAGCAAUUUUAAACACUUUACCCAGUGCCUGCUCUCUGUGAACAUUUACUGUGGUGACCAUCAUGAUUGUUGGGAUGGUGGUUAGGCAAAGUUGACAUGGUCCACUCUGACUCAGCCAAAGCCUCGAAGUUGAUUUCCUGAUUUUCCCGGCUUAGAGCCCGUGCAUCAACGUCAGGUCCACAGACUCAAAUGCUAACCCAUGCUAACCCUCAAGAUUUCCUGACCCAUCAUGGUGUAUCCCGCUCACCCUCUUCCUGACCCCGACAUGUUCCUUUCUUCCAACAGUAUCAUCAGCCUCAUUUUGCAGAUGAGAAAACCGAAACACAGUGGCAGUGAAGUGACUUCUCAGCCCAUGUCUGGCUGAUAGCGAGGGGCAGACAUGCUGCACUCGGGACCAGCGUGCUCUGGAGGCCGCAUUGACAUGCAGAGUGCCGUGGAGGGAAGGUCACUGAGCUUGGGGUUGGACAGAUCCGUGUGUUCAUCUUGGUGCUGCAGCCAACAAGCUGUGGAUGAUGACUUUAUUUUUUUGAGCCUCAGUUCCUUAUCUAUAAAAUAGGAGCAAUGAACCCAGCAUGGAUGACCAGCUAGAAUGAGGGGAGUGCCAGUACAGGAGCUGACCUGGAGCAGGUACUCAAGCCAAGGGGGUCCCUGCCGCUUUGCUCUCUCCUCCGGAUUUAGAGAAAAUGCAAAAUGUUUCCCACUGGAUGUAUUAGCUGUGGGAGGUGCCACCUUCUCUUGGCUGCAGUUUAUCACACCAGAAGCAAAGCUAGAUGGCUCUGAGCUCCCUUUUCUCUAUCUAGUGUGGCCAGAAAUCCUCAGAGGCAGCUGCCUGAAUACGUUUUCUCCUAAGUCUGAUUUUGUGUGUCUUUUCCUUGGAAACUCUGACUUAGCGUCCUGCCUUCCCGCGGGGGAGGUGUCAUUUGCAAAAACGGUUGGUUUGACAGGAGACGUGCUUAGAAGGGCGCCUCUAUCUUCCCUGUGUCCAGCCUGGGUCCCUAUCACGCAGGCUCCCAGGAGCUUCUACUCAUCCUCUAACUCAAACGGAUGGCACCAAGGUUGCACAUUUCAUCACUGUCAAGAGCCCAGAAUUGCAUGGAGGGGCAGCACUUUCUUCUCCAGUUACACGCUGAAUGUAAUUAUACUUUAA
rnacentral:lncRNA from 12 species